rnacentral:tRNA from 1 species
UUUAAUAUGGCAGAUAAGAUGCGAUGAACUUAAGCUUCAUAGAUAAAGUAUAACUUUUAUUAAAA